GAGAAGAUAGCUUAACUGGCAGAGUACCGGAUUGUGACUCCGGGGGAUGCGGGUUCAACUCCCGUUCUUCUCC
rnacentral:tRNA from 1 species